rnacentral:rRNA from 1 species
UCGGACGAGAAAGCCGGGCAACCUGGUGAGUACAGUGGCGUACGGGUGAGUAACACGUGGAUCAUCUACCUCUUGGUGGGAAUAACCNUGGGAAACCGGGGCUAAUACCGCAUGAGCCUGGAAAGGGAAAGCAGCAGUGCGCCGAGAGAGGAGUCCGCGGCCGAUUAGCUAGUUGGUAGGGUAAAGGCCUACCAAGGCAAUGAUCGGUAGCCGGCCUGAGGGGGCACACGGCCACACUGGCACUGAAACACGGGCCAGACUCCUACGGGAGGCAGCAGUGGGGAAUCUUGCACAAUGGGGGAAACCCUGAUGCAGCGACGCCGCGUGAGCGAUGAAGCCCUUCNGGGGUGUAAAGCUCUUUCGGCAGGAACGAUGAUGACGGUACCUGAAGAAGAAGCUGCGGCUAACUACGUG